ACCCUGAGUAGGACCGGCAGCGCCGGGCCACUCCCUUUUUCCGGGUAGCUACCCGUGACCUUUUUCCGUUUGGCGCGGCAGUUCCGGCACCGGCAGGUGUUGGAACUUAAAAGGCGCCAUCAUUCCUUCCACAAUAGGGUCGUCACACCUAACCAACCUGUCUGGCCCUGCUGCUACUCAUAGUAGCAGGGGCAGCACAGGCCACCUUCCUCCUCCUCCGGGGUCGCACCUUCAGCAACUCCACGGGUCUGGAGUCCUUACGGAUCAUACAAAAUUACAGUAUUUGGGCAACAUGCAGGU